AUAAUUUAUUUCAAAUCAAUAUAAAUUUGUACAUUAUAUAUAUCCAAAAUUUUAUAAUAAAAAUUAUAUUUAUAAAUUAAUAUGUUAUAUUUUAUUAAAAAAUAUUUACAAUAUCCUACAGUAGUCUUUUUUUCAUAUACAUCGAACAUUUUUAUAUAUUUUUUAAUUUUUGAUGAAGCAAAUUUAAAUAUAUGUUUUAAACUACAAGUAUCAAAAUUUAAUUCACAUUUACGUUAAAAUUUAAAAUUUAAUUUUCACCCACUAUAUUAAAAAAAUUAAUUGUUAAUUCAAAUUUAAAAUAAAAAAUUUAAUUUGAUUUAUAAUUUAAACUCAAAUUUUAAGUUUAAUGUAAAAUAGAUGAAUAGAAAUGCUAUUUUUUAACAAAUUGAUCAUAACCGUUUAUUUUUAUUUAAGAUAUUUUUUAACAAAUUGAUUAUAAUCGUUCGUAUAAUUGAAUUUAUAGAUGGAUAUGAAUGCUAGUUUUUAAUAAAUUGAUCAUAAUUGUUCUUAUUUGAGAUUUUUUUUAACAAAUUGAUCAUAGUCAUUUGUAGAGAAUAGAUUUUUAUAUAUAGUAGAGAUUUAAUAAAUCAAUCAUAACCAUUCGUUUGUAUUUGAGAUAUUUUUAACAAAUUAAUCAUAACCAUUCGUAGCGAAUAUUAUUUUAUUCCUUUUUGGAUUCUGUCUGUCAUUGUCGGAAUUCCUAUACGCUUUUACAUAUAGCAUAGAUAGAGUAGGACUACUAUACUCUUAUGAGUAUAGAGCCCUUCGUACUCAUAAGUUGUUUUCGAUGUUGGGCUUUUCGAAUCGACGAUCCACACCGUUAAACAUAAUCUCAAAUAUUUGAAACUUUUAGAAAAUAAAUUUCUUAAUUUUUCGAAAUUAUUAUAAAGUUUAUCAAGCGAGUAUAAAAUGAACGGUUAAAAUCGAACGAUAUCCUAAAAAUAGAUGAUCGGAUCCUUCAAUUUAAGAUCGGAGUUAUUGAUCUUUAUUUAGAUAGUGAAUAGAAUUUUCUAUCAAAAUUUCAACCUAUUCCAAUUUUUUUUCACCGUUAAACAAGCAAAUAUCUCAUAUAAGCUGUUAAAAAUUGUCAAUUUUGUAAACUUUUGAUUGUAAGAUAAAUGAUAUCAAAAAAUUAUAAAAUUUGAUUUCUAGAAGUUUUAAAUGCUCUAGGUAUUUUUUAACGGUAUGAAUUGUCGAUUCAGAAGCUCUAUUAUCGAAAACAACUUAUGAGUAUAAAGGCGAUUGUACUCAUAAAAAUAUAGUAGCCUAACUAUAUAUAUAUAUAUAUAUAUAUAUAUGUACAGAGAGAGAGAGAGAGAGAGAGAGAGAGAGUUGAGCCGGAAUACUAUCGGUAAUAAAUGGGCUCCGUUGCCACCCAUUUAUUUUCGAUGAUGGAGCCUCCAAAUUGACGAUCGGCAUCAUUGUAAAUGAUCUAUACCACUUGAAGUAUUUAAAAAUCAAAUUUUAUGCUUUUUCGAUAUUAUUCUCUUGUCUAUCAAGUGAGCGUAAAAAUAAACGGCUGAAAAUGAAUAUCCUCUAAAAAGUGAUUAUAGAAAUUUCAUAAUCAAGAUCAAGAGUAUAGAUCUUGUUCCAAAUAGUUUAAAGAAUUUUCUAACCAAAAUUCAAUUGAUUUGGAUAGCUUUACACCAAUAAACGAGAAAACGUCUCAUAUCUAUCAUUAAAAUUACAAAUUUUGAAACUCUUUAAUCAUUAGGUCCAUGAU
rnacentral:lncRNA from 1 species